rnacentral:tRNA from 1 species
GGCUCUGUAGCUAAGUUGGCGCUAAGCUAAGCGCUCGUCUAGCAUACAAGAGUCCUGGGUUCAAAUCCCAGCCGAGCGG